rnacentral:rRNA from 1 species
GACGAACGCUGGCGGCGUGCCUAAUACAUGCAAGUAGAACGCUGAAGGAGGAGCUUGCUUCUCUGGAUGAGUUGCGAACGGGUGAGUAACGCGUAGGUAACCUGCCUGGUAGCGGGGGAUAACUAUUGGAAACGAUAGCUAAUACCGCAUAAUAUUGACUAUUGCAUGAUAGUCAGUUGAAAGGUGCAACUGCACCACUACCAGAUGGACCUGCGUUGUAUUAGCUAGUUGGUGGGGUAACGGCUCACCAAGGCGACGAUACAUAGCCGACCUGAGAGGGUGAUCGGCCACACUGGGACUGAGACACGGCCCAGACUCCUACGGGAGGCAGCAGUAGGGAAUCUUCGGCAGUGGACGGAAGUCUGACCGAGCAACGCCGCGUGAGUGAAGAAGGUUUUCGGAUCGUAAAGCUCUGUUGUAAGAGAAGAACGAGUGUGAGAGUGGAAAGCUCACACUGUGACGGUAUCUUACCAGAAAGGGACGGCUAACUACGUG